rnacentral:rRNA from 1 species
CAGUCGCCGCGGGAAUACAGAGGGUGCGAGCGUUAAUCGGAUUUACUGGGCGUAAAGCGUGCGUAGGCGGCUUUUUAAGUCGGAUGUGAAAUCCCUGAGCUUAACUUAGGAAUUGCAUUCGAUACUGGGAAGCUAGAGUCUUGUAGAGGGGGGUAGAAUUCCAGGUGUAGCGGUGAAAUGCGUAGAUAUAGGAAGGAACACCAGUGGCGAAGGCGACCACCUGGACUGAUACUGACACUGAGGUGCGAAAGCGUGGGGAGCAAACAGGAUUAGAUACCCGAGUAGUCCCUGUCUCUUAUAU